AGGCACCCCGUGCACUCCGGUUCCUCCGUGCCGUCCGCCCCGCCUGACGGGUGCUAAGCGACGUUUCGCAGCC
rnacentral:sRNA from 1 species